UGAAACUGCAAGGCUGUUUUACAUGCCUUUUUGUCCUCUUUUGCACAAGGAGCCUCUGCAUUUGAAUCCCUUAACGCCCCACAGCUGUCAUGCUAGCAAGACCCAGGAAACUUUAGUAUUUCAGCCACUCUGCCUCCAGCGGCUGAUCUGUUUGAAGGCUGAGGGUAUAGGGGAAAAGCUGCUGGACUUCAAGGACACGAUGAAAUUUGGAUGUCUUAUGAAGAAAAUUUCUGAAGGAAAAUAUUUUUCUUCUAAAGGAGCAGCACAGCCCGUGCUAUCUGUGCUGUUUGGAAUGACGCAGCAGUAGCACGAGUGAGAAAAGGCUGCUAAGACUUGUCUGCAUGAAGUUGCCGUGCCCCUGUGCUCAUGUCCCCCAAAUGCCCUUUGAUUGGUCUCUGAAUGACCCCGGCUCUGUGUUAAUGUCUGGCAUGCAGUUCCGCAAUUAAAAUGUGUGGCCUGACAUCAGUUCCGAAUUUGUCUUGCCUUCAAUUUUUCAUGUCCACCCAAUUCAUUCUUUUGUCCUCUUAUCCUUCACUGCGUCAUGUAAGCAUAUGCUUUAUUCUUUGGUUGCUCUCAGUGCAAAGUUUGCA
rnacentral:lncRNA from 1 species